rnacentral:rRNA from 1 species
UUGGAGGGCAAGUCUGGUGCCAGCAGCCGCGGUAAUUCCAGCUCCAAUAGCGUAUAUUAAAGUUGUUGCAGUUAAAAAGCUCGUAGUUGAAUUUCGGGGUUCAUACGUUGGUCGGGCUUUUUGGUCUGUACUAGCGUAAUGGAUUCCUACCUUCUGAAUAACCGGCAUGCCAUUAAUUUGGUGCGCCGGGGAAGCAGGACUGUUACCUUGAAAAAAUUAGAGUGCUUAAAGCAGGCUAUCGCCUGAAUACAUUAGCAUGGAAUAAUGAAAUAGGACGGCAUGGUUCUAUUUUGUUGGUUUCUAGGAUCACCGUAAUGAUUAAUAGGGAUAGUUGGGGGCAUUAGUAUUCAAUUGUCAGAGGUGAAAUUCUUGGAUUUAUUGAAGACUAACUACUGCGAAAGCAUUUGCCAAGGAUGUUUUCAUUAAUCAAGAACGAAAGUUAGGGGAUCGAAGACGAUCAGAUACCGUCGUAGUCUUAACCAUAAACUAUGCCGACUAGGGAUCGGACGAUGUUAAUUUUUUAAUGACUCGUUCGGCGCCUUACGGGAAAC